rnacentral:rRNA from 1 species
GACAGAGGGUGCAAACGUUGUUCGGAAUUACUGGGCGUAAAGCGCGUGUAGGCGGCCCUGCAAGUCGGAUGUGAAAUCCCACGGCUCAACCGUGGAAGUGCAUUCGAAACUGCAGGGCUAGAGUCCUGGAGAGGAAGGUGGAAUGCUUGGUGUAGAGGUGAAAUUCGUAGAUAUCAAGCGGAACACCGGUGGCGAAGGCGGCCUUCUGGACAGUGACUGACGCUGAGACGGCGAAAGCGU